CCUACGGGAGGCUGCAGUGGGGAAUAUUGGACAAUGGGGGGAACCCUGAUCCAGCGACGCCGCGUGAGUGAAGAAGUAUUUCGGUAUGUAAAGCUCUAUCAGCAGGGAAGAAAGAAAUGACGGUACCUGACUAAGAAGCCCCGGCUAACUACGUGCCAGCAGCCGCGGUAAUACGUAGGGGGCAAGCGUUAUCCGGAUUUACUGGGUGUAAAGGGAGCGUAGACGGCGAUGCAAGUCUGAAGUGAAAGGCGGGGGCCCAACCCCCGGACUGCUCUGGAAACUGUGUAACUGGAGUGCAGGAGAGGCAGGCGGAAUGCCUAGUGUAGCGGUGAAAUGCGUAGAGAUUAGGAGGAACACCAGUGGCGAAGGCGGCCUGCUGGACUGUAACUGACGUUGAGGCUCGAAAGCGUGGGGAGCAAACAGGAUUAGAUACCCUAGUAGUC
rnacentral:rRNA from 1 species